AGGCUCAGCUGGCUCCUCAGACUUUUCCUCAUUUCCUCCCUCCUUCUGGCCUUUUAUCUUUCUACAUGUCCCAGGAUGUUUGGGAGACACGGUACCAAGCUGCCUGUGAGGGCGAUGAGCCUGUGAUCAAGUCUGUGGGUCAAUUCCUUUAUUGAUGUGAGAAAUAACAGCCCACUGUGCAAGACUAAUCCAUGGCAGGUUGGUCCUGGGGUGCAUAAGAGGGCUAAAUGAAAAGUAUGCUGCCUUGUUACAGGAAAGUGAUGGAGAUUUGCAAUAGGAGAAAGCCCACGAGCAUCCCAUCAGGAGGAUGAUGGUGGAAGGAUGAUAGUACAGAUGGGUACCACUCAAAGACUGGAGUUCUGUUCUUUGUCCUGGGAGCUUGCACUGCAGUAUCAGCCCAGUUUGCUUUAGCCCAUGCUCAUUUGUAUCAAGACUUUCUAAAUAAAGGACUCAAUGUUAUGACUUAAGUUCUCCUCCAGCAGACUGGGGACAAGCAGCCUGCUGACCAGUUUUGGUCUACUGACGAUGUCUGAGUAGUGCUGGGAGCCAUGAUAUAUUAUUGAGAAGAAAAAACAAUACAGGGAACAUGGAUAUUCCAUAACCUGAAAACGAUCCCAUCUAAUCAAUAAAUAUGUCAUAAUUACUGUUCUAUUAUUGUGAUGAAAGGCCAUGACUAAGGAAACUUUUAAAGUAUGUGCUUACGGCUUCAGACGAUUUGUUUCACUAUGGAUUGGGAAAUGGUGGGUCACAGGCAGG